GAUGAACGCUGGCGGCGUGCCUAAUACAUGCAAGUCGAGCGAACAGACGAGGAGCUUGCUCCUCUGACGUUAGCGGCGGACGGGUGAGUAACACGUGGAUAACCUACCUAUAAGACUGGGAUAACUUCGGGAAACCGGAGCUAAUACCGGAUAACAUGUUGAACCGCAUGGUUCAACAGUGAAAGACGGUCUUGCUGUCACUUAUAGAUGGAUCCGCGCCGCAUUAGCUAGUUGGUAAGGUAACGGCUUACCAAGGCAACGAGGCGUAGCCGACCUGAGCGGGUGGUCGGCCACACGGGAACUGAGACACGGUCCAGACUCCGACGGGAGGCAGCAGUAGGGAAUCUUCCGCAAUGGGCGAAAGCCUGACGGAGCAACGCCGCGUGAGUGAAGAAGGUCUUCGGAUCGUAAAACUCUGUUAUUAGGGAAGAACAAAUGUGUAAGUAACUAUGCACGUCUUGACGGUACCUAAUCAGAAAGCCACGGCUAACUACGUG
rnacentral:rRNA from 1 species